rnacentral:rRNA from 1 species
UGGUCCCCAAAUGGGGGCACGUGCACGCUCUGUUCGCACAUCCAUUCACACCUGUGCACCCCAUGUAGUUCUAUGGUUUGGGGGACUCUCCCUCUGCUGUGGUUCUAUAUCUUUACACACACUCUGUAAUAAAGUCUUAUGGAAUGUAUGCAGCGUUUAACGCAAUACAAUACAACUUUCAGCAACGGAUCUCUUGGCUCUCGCAUCGAUGAAGAACGCAGCGAAAUGCGAUAAGUAAUGUGAAUUGCAGAAUUCAGUGAAUCAUCGAAUCUUUGAACGCACCUUGCGCCCUUUGGCUAUUCCGAAGGGCAUGCCUGUUUGAGUAUCAUGAACACCUCAACUCUCAUGCUUUGCCAUGAUGAGCUUGGACUUUGGGGGUCUUGCUGGCCUGUGGUCAGCUCCUCUCAAAUGAAUCAGCUUUCCAGUGUUUGGUGGCAUCACAGGUGUGAUAAAUAUCUACACUUGUGGUUUCCUGCCAAGUAACCUUCAGCAAUGGGGGUUUGCUGGAGCUCAUAAAUGUCUCUUCUCAGCGAAGACAGCUUUGUAAAUGUUUGAUCUC